GAUCAUGGCUCAGGAUGAACGCUGGCGGCGUGCCUAACACAUGCAAGUCGAGCGAAGCGGUUUUAAGGAAGUUUUCGGAUGGAAUUAAAACUGACUGAGCGGCGGACGGGUGAGUAACGCGUGGGUAACCUGCCUCAUACAGGGGGGAUAACAGUUAGAAAUGGCUGCUAAUACCGCAUAAGCACACAGCUUCGCAUGGAGCAGUGUAAGAAAACCGUCGGUGGUAUGANAGUCGGGACCCGGUCG
rnacentral:rRNA from 1 species